CAGUGGACUUGUUGGCCUUUCCUCAGCAAAAUUUGGCAAUUCACUUAGAAAGCAUGAAGUCCGAGUGGGCUAAACAAAACAUGUCUACAGGAGGCCUAGUACGGCCUACAGUACCUUGAUUAUGACCUCUGGAUUCUAGAAGCCUUAGGGAUAUCACAUCACUUGCAAGAGUCAUUAAGGUGUUAGAGAUGAGCCCAAACCAACAAGAGUCAGAGGGGAGAACUUAUCUCAUAUUGGAGGCAUAUUAUACAAUGAAUAAGACUCUCCAGCCAACUCUUCAGUGAUAGCUGGAAAUCAUGAAUUGCAUCUUGAGAAAAGAAAGCUGAGUUUGGCACUCAUACAGGGGUAACCGGAAUCCAAGCCCUGAAAUGACAUUCCCAGGCUGUGGACCAUUCUCUGCUGCUGCUCCCCAAGGACAAGAAAGGAAUGACACUAAUUAAGAGAAAUAGGAGAGCAAGAGAAAAUGAGACCAACAAUAAAGCCAAAGGUCUUUAUUUCAGAGAAGCCUCUCAAGUUUUCU